AGGCGCCGACGCCCCGGGAGCGGGCGUAUCCAUCGGCGGCGUACCCGGCGUUGAGCUCGUUGCAGCACCCGAUGAGGCGGAGGCCCGGCUCGGCGAUGAGGUGGUCGAGGAGGGUAAGGUUGAAGUCGCCGGGUACAGCGAAGACGUCGUGGGCGCCCACCUGGACGAGGCGGCGGGCGAGGUGGCGUCCGAGGGUGGCCUCGGCUAUCGCCGCCACCGAAGCCGGCGCAGCGGGGCCGACGGAGCAGCACUGUGCCGCCGGGGGGCAGCCCACGACGCCGUUCGCCUUCGCCUCC
rnacentral:lncRNA from 1 species